rnacentral:rRNA from 1 species
GACGAACGCUGGCGGCGCGCCUAACACAUGCAAGUCGAACGGAGUCACGAGGAGCUUGCUUUUCUUGACUUAGUGGCGAACGGGUGAGUAACGCGUGAGUAACCUGCCCUGGAGUGGGGGACAACAGUUGGAAACGACUGCUAAUACCGCAUAAGCCCACGGAUCCGCAUGGACCUGCGGGAAAAGGAUUUAUUCGCUUCAGGAUGGACUCGCGUCCAAUUAGCUAGUUGGUGAGGUAACGGCCCACCAAGGCGACGAUUGGUAGCCGGACUGAGAGGUUGAACGGCCACAUUGGGACUGAGACACGGCCCAGACUCCUACGGGAGGCAGCAGUGGGGGAUAUUGCACAAUGGGGGAAACCCUGAUGCAGCGACGCCGCGUGGAGGAAGAAGGUUUUCGGAUUGUAAACUCCUGUCGUUAGGGACGAUAAUGACGGUACCUAACAAGAAAGCACCGGCUAACUACGUG